CCCUUCCCCUUCUUCUCCUCCCCCUCCCCUUCUUCUCCUCCCCUUCCCCUUCUUCUCCUCUCUUCCUCCUCCUUCUUAAAUCGGGUUCCCGCCUCCCGACCCUUCUGCGGAUUCGGGUUCUACUCUCUUCCCGCGUGAUGGCAGGUCCACGAUCAAGAAAACACAGCACAUGCCCUGGAUGCCAAGACUGGAGAGUUGUCCUCAGUGAUUCCUUGGCUUGUGAUACAGUUGUACCAUGUCCUUUCUUGCUCAGCUCUCAUGCUAGUGAGCUACAUUUUCCUACUCCUCUACUUUGGGCUUAAACGGGUUGCUACCUGGAGGUAUGUCCCAGGUUUAGACUGGGUCUUCUGAUCUCAAAUGAUCCAAUUAAGAAAAUCCUUCAUGGGCAUGCCCAUUUAUUCUGGUUUAAUUGAUUCCAGAUUCAAGUCAGCAACCAAGAUUAGCCACCUUGUCCCUCAACCCUCAGUUUUACAGCUCAGGAUGACCUUUCAUAAGAACCUGGGCACCUUUUGAAAUGAAAUCAUGCAGGAGGAUAGCACUCCUCACUCCCUCCUCUCUGGAAAGCAGGAGACGAACUUCAUUGUGCAGCAAUUGAAAACACAGCUCUGGAACUGAAAGUGUGCAUCACCAUGGCUGACUCAUGUCUUAGUUUCUUAAGUCUCCUGACCCAGUGGCCUGAAUGCCUUCUGAGCUCCCCACAUUCCGGUGCAAGUGAGUCGCUGAAGAACAAGGAGAUGAGACAGAAAAAUCUAUCCUGGCUCCAGCACCAAUAUCCACUUCUCACCUUUAAUAAAGUUCUAAAGCUCUUUGGGCAUCCUAUCUUACCUAAUUAGAAAGACUGGAAGAGUCCACUGGGAGAGUUGUGAAACUGAUCAAAUUGUCCAUUGGAAAGAGUUUGAAUGUUUCACCACCAAGAAGUAAUAAAUGUGAUGGCUCUGUUGAGAAAGUGUUUGUCUUGUAGACCCAAGGACCUGUUUGAUACCAGAGCUCAUGUAAAACAGCUGGUGUAGUGACGUGUUUUCAUGAUUCCAGUACUGGGGAAGUAAAAAUGGGCAGAUUCUUACGACUUGAUGGCCUACUUGAUGAGCUCUAGGCCUGGGAGACCCUACCUUAUAAAACACAAAUUGGUCUUGAAGGACUGAAGAAAAAAAUGACACAAAGUUCGAUGAGUUGGAAAGAGGGUGGUGAAUUGAAGAAGAUUUAGGGGAGGGGAAGUAAAUAUGAUUAGAACACAUUGCAUGGAACUCUCAAAAAAACCUUUUUUUGUUGUUUUUGGAUAUAUAUGUAACCCUGCCUGUAAUAGAACUAGUUCUGUAGACCACGCUGGCCUCAGAUUCAGAGAGAUACCCCUGUCUCUGCCUCCCAAGUUCUGGGAUUAAAGGUGUGUGCCAUCAC